rnacentral:lncRNA from 1 species
CCAAGCACAGCAGCUCCGUUAGCAAUUUCCAGCACCCAUUCAGCUCUCUUGGUGGCAACCACGAUGAUUCUGGGAAGCUCCAAUGAUGAUGGAAGGCCUCAGCAUCAGCCAAACAGCAACAGUAACAAUUCAGAUUAGAGCCAGUAGCGCUUAUGUCAGAUUCCAAAACCCAGAAGCAGAGGCAGAACAACAUCUUCUUCCCUUGAUUCUCGCGGCGCUCCUCUUCUCUGUAC